rnacentral:rRNA from 1 species
AACGAACGCUGGCGGCGCGCCUAAUACAUGCAAGUCGAGCGAGAAGACGUAGCAAUACGUUUGUAAAGCGGCGAACGGGUGAGGAAUACAUGGGUAACCUACCCUCGAGUGGGGAAUAACUAGCCGAAAGGUUAGCUAAUACCGCGUACGCUCCUCGGACUUCGGUUCAGGGAGGAAAGCGAUACCGUGGGUAUCGCGCUCUUGGAUGGGCUCAUGUCCUAUCAGCUUGUUGGUGAGGUAACGGCUCACCAAGGCUUCGACGGGUAGCUGGUCUGAGAGGACGAUCAGCCACACUGGCACUGCGACACGGGCCAGACUCCUACGGGAGGCAGCAGUAAGGAAUAUUGCGCAAUGGGCGAAAGCCUGACGCAGCGACGCCGCGUGGGGGA